GAUUCAUAUCCUUUCAAAAAUUAAUUCAAGGUUUGUUGCAUUUGCAAGAAUGCAUCAACCGAACAAAAUGACAAAGGAAGUCCCCCACUCAUUCUUCCAAAAGUCCAUUUUAUUUUGCUUUUGCAUAAUCACCACAACAUUUGUCAGAAUCCAGACAAGCGUUACAUAACCAUCCAAUGACACAAAAAACCAUGACAUAACACGUAACUGCUCUCACUUUCCUGGCUACAAAGCCCCAAACUAGAAAAACAAGACAAAACAUAUAUCAACUUCAGGUUCAAAUUUUUCUGACAAUUUCAGCUCAAGUAUCUUGAUUUGUUUUCAAUGGAGUACCAGGAUGUUUAUGAUGUGGAGUUGAAACCUAGGAUACUAGCGUACUUGAUGAAUGACCAAAUUCCUAAUGAGACUGACCCUUCACUUCAACACUGUGAUUUGCAGAGAAUUGUGAAUGCCAUCAGGAAUCUUGGGUUGCUUUCUGAAUCAUUCCCUGAAGAAGCUAAUAACUCUAGGAUUGUUGAAGAUUGGGCUAUUGCUGUUGAUUCUUGGGUUGAUCGAGUACUCUCCCUCGUGUCUAGUCCAAGGUCACGCAAAUGUUGGACAGGCAUAUGUUUACUGGGGGUGACCUGUCAAGAAUGCAGCUCCGACCGUUUACUAGCAGAGUACCCUCUUUGGUUCGAUAAACUCAAAUCAAAUAUCCAGGCAUGAGCUCUUUUUCUUACACUUCUCUACCAUUUCCAAGAACUAUAUAUAUGAGCUUUACUGUUUGGAAAGUCAUAGAGUGGAUUAUCUUGCAUCGUCUCAUCUUACUGUGAAUUUCAGGACGUGAUCUUAACUUUGCUGCUAAAUUUGUUAUUUCUGGAGCUAGUAAUGAAAUUACUGUCAGGAAAAAUUCUUAAUAGUUUUUGUGAUUGUGUUUUGGCAUGGUUCUUGAUUUUCUAACAUGGCAUGUGGUUUCUUGUGAUUUUUGCAGCCAGCAUCAGAUUAUAUUUCUGUUAAGGUGGCCACUUUUGCCUCCUUGUCGAAUCUGUUGAAAAGGCUGGGUAGAUAUUCGGACGUUAAGAAAGAUGCUACAGCGCAAGCUGGGAAGCUCAUUCAACCUGUUUUGGAGCUUUUAUUAGAUAAUGAAUUUUCAGAGGUGGUACUGGUAAGCUGU